UAAUAUAGUGCUUAACAUAUGAUCAUGACACAGAAAACAGCACUCAAUAGUGUUGCUGUCCCUGAUACUAGUUUUAUAUUCUACUGCUCUUAGGUGGAAUCUUCUAUCUCCUGUCUUCUUGGUUGUCUGAUUCUGCAGUUUGUCAUGCUACUUUAUUUCAUACGUGAUGUCUCCAAAUAUGAGUAUAUUUAGAGAUUUUCCUGAUAACAACCUCUGGCUUCAACUACUACUACCUUCGUUACCAGCCACAUGAGUUUCACUGGUUGUGGCACUGCUAUCAAGCUGGACUGAAAACUGCCGUUUGUACACUGUUGCACCAUAUUGAACAACUUGACAGUUCUAAGUAGAGAUUUCUUUGUGGAGCUGAAAUAUCGUAAUAGAGCUGUUGCUGAAAAGGCUAUGAAGUUCUUAAACAGGACCUGCCUGGAUGAUCUUAUCAUUUGCACAGAUUCGGGGGUGGUUGUCAAAUCAAAUUCAAGGGGAUCCCGGUUUGCCC
rnacentral:lncRNA from 1 species